rnacentral:rRNA from 1 species
GCGAAUGGCUCAUUACAACAGCCUUAAUUUACUUGACCUUGACAACCUACUUGGAUAACUGUGGUAAUUCUAGAGCUAAUACAUGCACCAAAGCUCCGAUCCUCGCGGAGAGGAGCGCAUUUGUUCGCCACAAAACCAAGCGCCCUUCUGGGCGUCCAGUGCUGAACCAGAACAACUCAGCUGAUCGCACGGUCUUGCACCGGCGACGUGUCUUUCAAGUGUCUGCCUUAUCAGCUUUCGAUGGUAGUGUACCUGACUACCAUGGUUGUGACGGGUAACGGAGGAUAAGGGUUCGACUCCGGAGAAGGGGCCUGAGAAAUGGCCACUACGUCUAAGGAUGGCAGCUAGGCGCGCAAAUUACCCACUACUCAACGCGAGGAGGUAGUGACGAGAAAUAACUAAGACCGUUCACCUACGAGGCCUGGUUAUUGGAAUGGGUACUAAUUUAAACCCUUUAACGAGUAUCUAUGAGAGGGCAAGUACUGGUGCCUGCUAGCCGCGGUAAUUCCAGCU